rnacentral:rRNA from 1 species
UGCUGGAACGCGCCCCAGGCGCACCCAGAAACCCUUUGUGAACUUAUACCUUUUGUUGCCUCGGCGCAUGCUGGCCUCUAGUAGGCCCCUCACCCCGGUGAGGAGAAGGCACGCCGGCGGCCAAGUUAACUCUUGUUUUUACACUGAAACUCUGAGAAAAAACACAAAUGAAUCAAAACUUUCAACAACGGAUCUCUUGGUUCUGGCAUCGAUGAAGAACGCAGCGAAAUGCGAUAAGUAAUGUGAAUUGCAGAAUUCAGUGAAUCAUCGAAUCUUUGAACGCACAUUGCGCCCUCUGGUAUUCCGGAGGGCAUGCCUGUUCGAGCGUCAUUUCAACCCUCAAGCAUUGCUUGGUGUUGGGGCACUGCUUCUAACGAAGCAGGCCCUGAAAUCUAGUGGCGAGCUCGCCAGGACCCCGAGCGUAGUAGUUAAACCCUCGCUCUGGAAGGCCCUGGCGGUGCCCUGCCGUUAAACCCCCAACUUUUGAAAAUU